CAUGUGGCCAUGCGGUGUGGUUUCCAUGCCCCUGGGGAAGGCGGUGCAUCUUAAGUGGCUCCUUGAGGACUGUGUUUGUUUUUGACAGGCAGAGUUAGACAGUGAGAGAGACAGAGAGAAAGGUCUUCCUUCCGUUGGUUUACCCCCCAAAUGGCUGCUAUGGCCGGCGCGCUGCGCCAAUCCGAAGGCAGGAGCCAGGCGCUUCCUCCUGGUCUCCCAUGGGGUGCAGGGCCCAAGCACCUGGGCCAUCCUCCACUGCACUCCUGGGCCACAGCAGAGAGCUGGCCUGGAAGAGGGGCAACCGGGUCAGAAUCCGGCGCCCCAACCGGGACUAGAACCCAGAGUACUGGCGCCGCAGGUGGAGGAUUAGCCUAGUGAGCCGCGGCACCAGCCGGGGACUGUGUUUCCUACCAUGGAGAACAGUGCGUCUUAGCACAGUCCAGCACUACUGAGUGAGGCUGGCCGAAAGCACCCAUGCUCACGAAUUCAGUUCCACAGAUGUUUCUUUCUUUAUUUUUUGAGAUCACAUAGUUUUAAAAAGAUUUCAUUUAUUUGAAGGGCAGUUAGAGGGAGAGGCAGAGAGAGAGAGAGAGAGAUCUUCUAUCCACUGGUUCACUCCUCCAAAUGACUACAACAGCUGUGGCUGGGCCAGGCUGAAAUCGGGAGCCAGAAACUCCGUCCAGUCUCCCACAUGGGAACUGGAGUCCCUCAUCCGCUGCUUUCCCAGGUGCAUUAGCAGGGAGCUGGCUCGGAAGUGGAGCAGCCGGGACUCUAACCAGUGCCCACGUGGGAUGCUGGCUGUGCAGUGGCUUAACCCGCCUGGCCAUAUCGCCAUCCCCACGGAUGGUCCUCAGCCUUGUUUUCAGGUUGAAUGUGCGGCUGGGGUGUUGGGGGUGGCAAAAAGGGACACGUCUUUGUUGCUGGCCAGGACACAUGAGCAGCACCCAUGGGACCACCUGGGCUCGUUUUGGGACUGAGCAGAGGGGGGCAUCAGGAAUAACUCAAGUGGAGCAGGGGGUGAUCGAGAGCCUGGAGUGGGGGCCCCCGGGCACCGACAGCGUCUGUCACAGACAGGGAGCUCCGUCAAGACGGGGAAGCAAGAGAGCUGAUGCCCAGGGUUGCCUGAGAUGGAGCGCACAGCCCUGUCUUCAGGCCAGACCAGGGAGAAGUGAGGCGCGCUCGGACCGACUACCUGCCCAUGCUGUCUCCGGGAGGAAGGGAAGGGACCCGCCCUAGGCUUCCCCUUGUCUCCCGUGGGCAGGCGCUCUCACUGUGAGGCUGCCAGCGUGGCUCAGCCACCGCGGCCUCUGGGGUGCCGGCAGCUGCAGCAGUGGUGCACGGCCGGGCGGGUCCUGGAGUCUCCAUGGCAGGCACGUGAUGAGUGUGGUCGGGCUCGGCCCCGAGUCCGCCUCCUGUUCACGCUGAGUACACUGGGCUCAGAGACAUGGAACCUGGUCCCGAGGACGCGGCUGUGAGAGGCCAGGGUCGGGUCCUGAGGACAGACGAGGCUGGGAGCAGCUCCGCCGGGCAGCUGUGCUCGUGGUGCUGUCGGGAGGAAGGAGACACGGCGUCUGCACACAGGGCUCCCUUCCCACGAUGAGCGUGCUCCGACGACACGUGUGCUGGGCACCCUGCCUGUGCCGUGUGUGUGAGGCCGCGUCUCUGUGGGUCCCCAGGAUGGCCGCAGCGGGGCCCCUCCAUGAGUGCUUUCCUGGGAGAGGAGGUCAUUGUGCGGCGGUGCCGUGAGUGGGAGUUUCCGCCGUCUCGGCGCCGCGGCACAGUCUUUCCUGCUCCGGUGCCCCCUUUCCCUGGCACCCACGGCCGCGUGCUCUGAAAUGCAGCGUAUCUGGGGCUGGGAGUCACCUCACCAAAAGGUGACGUCAUGAACCAAGAGGUGACGUCACCAAGAAGUUACGUUGCUAACGGAGAGGUUAUGUUACUAAUUAAGAGUGUAAGCCGCUAAGAGGCGAGGUCACUGAGAGGUGAGGUCACCAGCCCAGGCAGGGAAGUGUGAGAAGCCCGAGUUCCCACGUCCUCGUGCCCUGGUCACACAGUGCACCUGGGCACAGGGGCAGCUGGGCACUUGGGAGCUGGAGCACUGCCGUGCCCUGGCAGAUCCCAGGCUGCUCCUUGGCCAGAGAGAGAGAGAGAGAGGUCUUGGCUGUGGCUGAGGAGACGCCCCCGUGCCUGGCAGAGUCUGACUUGAAAUUUGCCGCCUGGUUGUGGAAGCCAUGGAUGAGCAGACAGCCUGCAGAGAUGGGGUGACUGACUCCUGCAGCCCCAGGUGGGCAGGCUCCAGGACCUGGGCCAGGGAACCUGCGGGGUGGGCAGAGGGGCCAGGGACUGCAGUCCAGGGCUGGGGUCUGUCCUGUCGCCUGUGAGUGCGUGGCCUUUCACCCUCCUGCCUUGCCUUCCUCACUGGUCAAGCUCAGGCCAACGUACCAUGGGGUCUGAGGGUCAGCACCAGUGUGCGGGGCUCCUGGCAGCAAGUGUCCAGCGUGGGGACGUCACGUAGAGCACGGAACCGGAGCGUCCCCUGCUUGUGCCUGUGGCUUGGGCUCUGAAGCCAGGAAGUCCAAGGAAAAUGGCCACAUGGAGGAGUGGUCCACCGGUGGUCCUGUCUCUGAGGCGUUUUCCUCUGUGAGAACCCACAUCCACCUUGCACGCAUGUCUCUGCCCAUGGCCCCAGCUACGUGUCUGGUGACUGCGCCAUUGGAUGCCACUGUGGUCAGGAUGCAGUGGCUCAUGAGCAGCGACCCCACUCCCUUGGGCCUGCAGGUGGCCACCUCAGGGUAGGGGGGCCAGGCCGGGUGCCCACCUUCUCCCUGCCAGCCUGGAGCAGAUGACCAGAUGCUGAGAUGCACAGCACCGCGUGCAGGCCGGUGGGCUGCUCUCUCCUUUCAGCAUCUCUGGGAGCCGUCCCUCCUGCUGUGACUUGGGGGCAGCCUUGGCUCCAGCCCCAGCUGCCUGGGCUCGGCAGCAGCAAGGCCAGCCCUCGCCAGCCAGCCUCAGCGAGGACCAGGGGCUCGACCCCCUGGGAAAGCCCCCAGGAGCACCCAGAGCAGAACAGCACGCAAGCGUCGGGGACUCUGCCCUGUCUCUGCCUUCAGCUUCAUGGGCUGGGUCCGCCCGGCUCUCGCCUCUUCAGCCACGUGCUGGAGCUGAGAGGAGCCGCUCAGCUCAGGGUCUGCAAGGUGCCGAGGCCAAGGUCGGUUGGCCCUGUGGCAGAGGGCAUCAAGGUGGGUGUGGUGAGGGUGACAGGUCGCACCAUCAGGUGGGAGGUAGAGAGCGGGUCAGACCCUGGCUUUAUUACAGUGUUUCACAGAAUUCCCUGCCUUCUGAGGGUGGCUCCCACCACUGCCGCCCAGCUGCCCACGCGCGUCCCGGCCGUGGCAGGGCCCCAGCCUCCGUAAGCUGCUGCUGGCGGGGCACUCGGAGUCGUGUCAUGCUGCCUCGAUGCCGUUUCUUCCGAGCCCUGCGGCAGGGGUCCGAGCAGGAAGGGCACGUGGGCCAGGCGUGGUCAGACGCAGCUCUGAGAUUCUUUCCCUGGGAAACCUCAGAUGGGAGCGGCGUGGCCAGACCUAGAACGCACUACGAGGCUGACUCGCGCAGGUGCCACGCCUGCGCCCACGUGGACAGACACCUGCCUUCCCAGCUCGCCGACGCAGGGAGGGGCCGCAUCUUCCUGCAGGGCGAGAUCACCGUGCCUGGGUGCCCGCUCAGACCGCACACUCGGGAACCUUUGACACAGGCUGUGCCGGAGAGGCUGGGCUGAACUACAGGUCGCCGCUUCUCUGCAGAGACUGCGAGGGUCGUGAGGCGGGCGGGCUGUGGCUGAGGCAGGCGGGAUGGCCGGCAGCAGUCACUUUGUGCGUGCUCUUCCUGCUGCUCCCCUCUGCCGACCCCCGUGUGCACCCAGGAUUUGCGGGCAGCUCUCCAGUCUGCCUGCCCAGGACCCUGCCCAGUCAGUCACAGGGCUCCCUGACAGCCCCUGCCCAGAGACCCUGUGCAAAGAACCACCUGUGACGAAGUGGGAGGAAGAGGAAAGAGAGGCCGGCGACUGCGGGGCCCAGCAGGCUCCAAAGGGGGGACGUGGUCUCAAGCCCUGGCACACGGUGCCUGCGGCCAGCGAGCCCCUCGGAGGGCAGGGAGGGCCCCGCACCUGGGAGGCAGCGGGGGAAGGGCCGCUGUCAGCACACUGCCCCUCGCAGCCCCUGCUCCGAACGCCACGGCCACAACAGGGACGGCAUUCGCUGCCCAACGUCCUGCCUCUCGCUGGGCACCUGUGGUUGGCCCCGUGGUGUCCGCUGGGGAGACAGAGACUGCUACUGCCACCGCCACCACCGCUGCUGCCGCCAUACAAUAACCACAGCAAAGGGGACCUGCUGCUGCCAGGGUGACGGUGACAACACCAGCACUGCUGCUGCCAGGUGACGGUGACAACACCAGCACUGCUGCCACGGUGACGGUGACAACACCAGCACUGCUGCCACGGUGACGGUGACAACACCAGCACUGCUGCUGCCAGGUGAUGGUGACAACACCAGCACUGCUGCCAGGUGACGGUGACAACACCAGCACUGCUGCUGCCAGGUGACGGUGACAACACCAGCACUGCUGCUGCCACGGAUAGUACUACUACUACCACUUCUGCUACAACUGAUAGGACCAACAAUACUGGCGUUACUGCCACAGAUGGCAAUGAUAGUAAGGCUAAUGCUGCUGCUGUGACUAGUACUGUUACUUCAGCUUGUAUACAGACAAUGGAGAUAACACCAGUGUCACCGGUAGUAACACCCUGGGACAAAUUCCAGACUCUUGUGGUCACCACUGCUACAGCGGCCAGGGUCUGCUUGGCUGCUGCGGCCAGGCGCGAGGGCCGCCCACAUUCCUGCCUGGGGCUGCUUUCCCACGUCCUUGGCUUGUGAUAACUGCUCGGCCCUCCCAUCCAUCCCACCACAUGGAGUCAGACACCGUGUCGUCGUCACCCAAGGAGACGGGAACUCGCCACGGUCGCCCAGCUCAGGAGCCGGUGGCAGGCCUGCAGCCCCCAGGCUCCCCUGCCCCCUGGGCCCACCCAAGCCUGCCCUGUCCUUCACCCUGCAAGUCCCAGCCCUGGAAACUCCGAGCCUGGGCCCUGUGCUGAUGACCUCUGUGGCCUGGAGCCCUGUGGGAUGGUGCAGCCUCAAGGGUUGAAGCCUGGGUUUAAUCGGUACAAACGCUCACAGCCCGUGGGGGCCUGGGACGCGUGGCCUUUGGAGGGCUGAGCUUAGUACUGUGUCCUGGAGGCCAGCCCUGGCUCCCUCUCUCACUGGGGACCCUCCUUCUGGCGUCAGAUGCUUCCCUGGCCAGGGGCCCUCCGUGCCAUGCAGGAGGGUCCCCCCCUUGCCCUCCUGUGCCGCAGCCUGUCCCUUAAACAGGGGCCAGCUCCAUCCAGCCUGGUGGCCCUCCCCAGCAUCCUUCCGGCCUCACACUAAUGGUGUCCACCAGCGUACUGUACGCUAAGUGCUGGGACAGACUGGCUGGCGAGGGCUUCCUUUAUGGGCCUCGUGGGGAGGCCACACUGCACUCAGAUCCUGGCCCUUUAGCUACAGGUACCGGGAGAGCAGGUGGAUGGUGGCUCGUGCCUGGCCAUCAAGCCCAUCCCUGGUCUGCCCACCCCCCAGGGCCAGGCGCAGGUCAGAUGCCGCCUUCUGUCCAGCAUAUCAGGUCAGACAGCCCCCACCUGAAGACUUCUGCCCGAGAUGCUCACCAGGUGCCAAACCCCCAUGGAGGUGGCAGGACCUCAGCGGCCCUUCCCUGCCGUGGCACCCCCACGCCACACUCGUGUGCUAGCCGCACCGUUUGUGCACACCAGCUGUCUAGUCAUUUCAGGUUGUGAAGCAUCUGUGCAUGACUGAAACUUCUUAUUUUGAAAUCGCUCCAGAUCUGAAAUGCGACUGUCAAUUUGAAAUAA